UACGAUCACCGAAGUUAAGCAGCGUCGAGCCUGGUUAGUACCUACAUGGGUGACCACUUGGGAAUACCAGUUACUGUAA